AACGAACGCUGGCGGCGUGGAUAAGACAUGCAAGUCGAACGGGACAAGUAGCAAUAUUUGUCUAGUGGCGAACGGGUGCGUAACACGUGGGCAACAUGCCUGGAAGAGCGGGAUAGCCCGGGGAAACUCGGAUUAAUACCGCAUGUGACAACGGGGCGGAUUCGCCCUGUUUUCAAGGUGGGGACCGCAAGGCCUGCCGCUUCCAGAUUGGCCCGCGUCCUAUCAGCUAGUUGGCGGGGUAACGGCCGACCAAGGCGACGACGGGUAGCGGGUCCGAAAGGACGACCAGCCGUACUGGAAGUGAGACACGGUCCAGACACCUACGGGUGGCAGCAGUCGAGAAUCUUUCACAAUGGGGGAAACCAUGAUGGAGCGACGCCGCGUGGAGGAUGACGGUCUUCGGAUUGUAAACUCCUGUCAUGAAAGAACAAGCGGAGCGGGUGAACAGCCCGCCGAGUUGAUAGUAUUUCAAGAGGAAGGGACGGCUAACUUCGUGCCAGCCGCCGCCGUAAAAC
rnacentral:rRNA from 1 species